GAUGAAGAACGCAGCGAAAUGCGAUACUUGGUGUGAAUUGCAGAAUCCCGUGAACCAUAGAGUCUUUGAACGCAAGUUGCGCCCGAAGCCAUUAGGCCGAGGGCACGCCUGCCUGGGCGUCACACGUCGUUGCCCCCCCAUCUACUCCUUCGGGAUUGCGGGGGGCGGAUGAUGGCCUCCCGUGCGCCUCGUCGCGCGGUUGGCAUAAAUGCCAAGUCCUCGGCGACACACGCCACGACAAUCGGUGGUUGCGAAACCUCGGUUGCCCGUCGUGUGCGGUCGUCGCGCAUCGAGGGCUCGAAAAAAUUGCCGGGCUCCGGCUCGGCUUUCAACGCGACCCCAGGUCAGGCGGGGUUACCCGCUGAAUUUAAGCAUAUCAAUAAGCGGAGGA
rnacentral:misc_RNA from 1 species